UACGUAGGGUGCGAGCGUUAAUCGGAAUUACUGGGCGUAAAGCGUGUGCAGGCGGUUUUGUAAGCCAGAUGUGAAAGCCCCGGGCUCAACCUGGGAAUGGCAUUUGGGACUGCAAGGCUGGAGUUUGGCAGAGGAGACUGGAAUUCCUGGUGUAGCAGUGAAAUGCGUAGAUAUCAGGAGGAACACCGGUGGCGAAGGCGGAUCUCUGGGCCUUACCUGACGCUCAGGUGCGAAAGCUAGGGGAGCGAACAGG
rnacentral:rRNA from 1 species